rnacentral:rRNA from 1 species
GACGAACGCUGGCGGCGUGCUUAACACAUGCAAGUCGAACGGAAAGGCCCUGCUUUUGUGGGGUGCUCGAGUGGCGAACGGGUGAGUAACACGUGAGUAACCUGCCCUUGACUUUGGGAUAACUUCAGGAAACUGGGGCUAAUACCGGAUAGGAGCUCCUGCUGCAUGGUGGGGGUUGGAAAGUUUCGGCGGUUGGGGAUGGACUCGCGGCUUAUCAGCUUGUUGGUGGGGUAGUGGCUUACCAAGGGUUUGACGGGUAGCCGGCCUGGGAGGGGGACCGGCCUCAUUGGUACUAAGAGACGGCCCAGUCUCCUACGGGAGGCAGCGGUGGGGAAUAUUGCACAAUGGGCGGAAGCCUGAUGCGGCAACGCCGCGUGCGGGAUGACGGCCUUCGGGUUGUAAACCGCUUUCGCCUGUGACAAAGCGUGAGUGACGGUAAUGAGUAAAGAAGCACCGGCUAACUACGUG